AGCGAACGCUGGCGGCAGGCCUAACACAUGCAAGUCGAACGAACUCUUCGGAGUUAGUGGCGGACGGGUGAGUAACACGUGGGAACGUGCCUUUAGGUUCGGAAUAACUCAGGGAAACUUGUGCUAAUACCGAAUGUGCCCUUCGGGGGAAAGAUUUAUCGCCUUUAGAGCGGCCCGCGUCUGAUUAGUGAGUUGGUGAGGUAACGGCUCACCAAGGCGACGAUCAGUAGCUGGUCUGAGAGGAUGACCAGCCACACUGGGACUGAGACACGGCCCAGACUCCUACGGGAGGCAGCAGUGGUGAAUCUUGCGCAAUGGGCGAAAGCCUGACGCAGCCAUGCCGCGUGAAUGAUGAAGGUCUUAGGAUUGUAAAAUUCUUUCACCGGGGACGAUAAUGACGGUACCCGGAGAAGAAGCCCCGGCUAACUUCGUGCCAGCCGCCGCGGUAAGAC
rnacentral:rRNA from 1 species